GGGGCCGUAGCUCAGUUGGAAGAGCGGCUGAUUUGCAUUCAGCAGGUCAUCGGUUCGAACCCGUUCGGCUCCACCA
rnacentral:tRNA from 1 species